UGACCUCGGAUCAGGUAGGAUAGCCACA
rnacentral:rRNA from 1 species